rnacentral:rRNA from 1 species
GUCCACGCCGUAAACGAUGGAUACUAGCUGUUGGGAGCAAUUUCAGUGGCUAAGCGAAAGUGAUAAGUAUCCCACCUGGGGAGUACGAACGCAAGUUUGAAACUCAAAGGAAUUGACGGGGCCCGCACAAGCGGUGGAGCAUGUGGUUUAAUUCGAUGAUACGCGAGGAACCUUACCAAGGCUUAAAUGUAGAUUGACCGGUUUGGAAACAGAUCUUUCGCAAGACAAUUUACAAGGUGCUGCAUGGUUGUCGU